rnacentral:rRNA from 1 species
GAGUUUGAUCAUGGCUCAGAACGAACGCUGGCGGCAUGCCUAAUACAUGCAAGUCGAACGCUCGUAGCAAUACGGGAGUGGCGGACGGGUGAGUAACGCGUGGGAACCUGCCCAGUGGUAGGGAAUAACCGCGGGAAACUGCGGCUAAUACCCUAUGAGCCCUACGGGGGAAAGAUUUAUCGCCAUUGGAGGGGCCCGCGUCGGAUUAGCUAGUUGGUGGGGUAAUGGCCCACCAAGGCAACGAUCCGUAGCUGGUCUGGAGAGGAUGAUCAGCCACACUGAGACUGAGAUA